rnacentral:misc_RNA from 1 species
GUGAGCAUAAUUAACUGUGAAAACCACUACAUCAAAUUACAGUAGUACUUUGCCCAUGUUUCUGUGCUGAAUUUGGUAAAGCUCUACUGAAAAACUUGCAAAACUAAAACUUAUACAGGGGACGUGACUUAUAUCCUAUUCUUUGCUAUUUUUUCGCACUCAGCGGCUGUCAAGUGUCUUAUCCCAUUCUCUUUCAACCAUAUUUCACCUCCUGCUAAACAAUUCUGGAGCUGCUUCUUUCCCAUUUUCAAUAGCUUCAGACCUUCACUCAAUUUGGGGAAGAAACCUUCAGGUCUUAAGCACCAAGCUCCGAACACCCUGAAUAAUACUGACAAAUCAUUGCUAAGCCUCUCAACUCCGCCGUCAGAAAACUUAGCAUUGGUCAUCAAAAUACCAUUAAAAAUUAGCUUGUCCAGCCCAGGGGCUAAACUCCUCCAGACCCCAACAAAGUCCACUCGAUUCAAACCUUCUUCAAGUAUUGACAUUUUUCCCUGCAGAUAAUCUAGUGCUCCAACCAAAGUCUGGGAUACCAUCCACCCUUCUUCACCCUUUUCCUGCCAUUGCUUCUUGUUCUUUAGAUAGUCUCUGCAGCAGACAUCGAAUCCCCUCAAUACUACCGUAGACAGCUUCUCAACCCAUCCUGUUCUGAAUUCUUCCAACCUCUUAAUUUCUUCAUAAAGAAUUCCAUUUCCAGAUGAUUCCUCUGAUCCAAAGUCAUUUCCAUCAGUAGAUGUGUCCUGGUUCAGCCCCAUCUCAAGAAAAAAGAUAUCCUCACACCAUUCCUUUAAAAUAGACUCGAA